AUUCAAUAGAAUUGUGGGGUGAGGUGAGGGCAGGAGUGAGGGAGAUUUUUUUACUUCUGGAGUACUUUGUGAUGUUUAUUGAUAUUUUCUUUCUUUUUGUUAUUAAUACUGGUCUAGUAAUAUUCUUCUAUACCAUUUGGUGAUACCUUUUGGAGUCCAAAUGAAUGAGUCAACAACUCAAGAGGAACUCAGACCUGCUCAGGAAAAUGGAAAAGAAGACAAAGAGAGGAAAUGGAACUUAACUGAAGUGAAAGAGCUUCAUGAGACUUUACAGAGUGUGCCAGAUGUUCCUGUAAAAGAGGCCACCAACAAUGUGGUGGAGAAAGCAAUGGAUGAAAUCAAAUCCCAAGAGACUGGGUCUUGCUAUGUUGCCCAGAGUGGUCUUGAGCUCCUGGCCUCAAGUGAUCAUCCUGCCUUAGCCUCCCGAAGCGCUGGGAUUACAGAUAAUUAAACCUGGAGGGGCAGCAAAAAAUUUCACCUGGUUCAAUAAAGGACUCUAAAACUGAAGCCUCAAGUAAUAUUGCAAUUAGAAAA
rnacentral:sRNA from 1 species